UUUUGAAAGAGAUCUGUUCUUGAUCAUUUACUUGGCAAUGAGUGUUCUCAAGCACUUUGGCCUCCUUGUGAUGAUGAUUGUUGUGAUGUUUACGAGCCCAGGAGAAGUUGCAUCAGCUCCAUAUUUUGUCCAUCAUCAACUCCGAGACUCGAGCAUGUAUGCUACUCUUGGAGUCCAGUGCAAGUGCUGCGACGGUGAGAGAGGUGAAUGCAGGAGCGAGUGGGCGGAGGGGUCGUGCUCUAAACUGCGAUGCUUGCCAUGGAAAUAUCGCCACUGAGUUUCAGAAUUCUGCAUUAUUACGCGAGUAAACAGGUGACCGAAUGCAGCCUUGAGGUCAAAUGGAAAGAUAUGGAAUAAAGUUGAUGUGCUAUGUGCCUUCUUAUAUAUCCAUGUUAACUAAAACGUAUAUGUGACUCGUUAUGAAAAUCAUGUAUUAGUUUUAAUGUCUUUUGCACUUUAUAUUUACCCAUCAUGUCUGUUUUGCUCUGGAGCAACAAGUUUGAUAACAUGAAUGAAUGUUAUUAUUUUUUUGUCCUA